GAGGGGGUUGUCAGUAAUUGGAUGGUGACUAUUCAUGGGAAUGGGUUUUCAUUUGGGGGUGAUAAAAAUGUUCUACAAUUGAUUGUAGCAAUGGUUACACAAUUCCAAAAAUACACUAAACCUCACUGAAUCACAUAUUUUAAAUAAGUGAACGUAUGACAUGUGAAUUGUGUCUUCAUAAAGCUGUUAUUAUUUUUUUAAAGCAAGCUUCAGGGUAAAUCCUAGUCUUUAGAAAGAACUGUGUCUUGGGUGAGAAAAUGCUGUGAGGAUGUUGAGGCUUUCUGGUACGGAGUUUCAAAUUUUGCUGGUCCUGCUAAACAGAGAAUUGGAGCGCUGCAUGCCAGAGACAGGGAGGGCCAUGUGCCCCAAAGCUAAGCACCAUUGCUCAGUCUGUCAGCACCAUGGGCCCUCAAUCCAUCCCUUUCCCCAGGUUUCCCCACAGAAUCCUGCCCUCCAGGAUCAAGGGUUAUUGAUGUUGUACUUUGACAUGCUAAGCAUUUCUGGUGGCUCUUACCUCAGGCCUAGCUUCCUUGGCUGGUUUCUUUUCCCCAAAGUACAAAGUAUUAUGAAAUGUCAGAAGUGGCAUUUCCCUCAUGGCAUUUAUUUAAAAAGAAAAGGAAAGGACCGUAAUCAUAGGUCAUGCUGCUGCCCCUUGCUGAGUCCACAGCUCUCUACGUAUCACCUCGGGCAUUAUGCAGCACUGUUGUUGACAUUGAUUUCUCUCUGCCUACAAGGAAAGAUGAGCUUGCUAUGGAUUGCCUUUGUAUGCUUGGUUUAAAUUCCUGGCCCAUUUUAAGCUUUGUUUGUUUUUUCCUUCAAAAAUUGAUUUGAUGAGUUAGUUGGGGAUUUGGAGUAAUGGAGAGAAAGGGGCAGUCAGAGAAGACUCACGCAUAUAUUCUCCACAUUUUCCAUAAGUGACCCAAAUCCACUCCCCUACUUAACAUUCCAAAUAGGAUAAAACACGCUGCUAUUCAUAUUAUUUCUAAUAAUGUUUUCCCAUCAUCUUUAGAUUAGGAGAAACUCUAGGUAUAGAUCUACUUGGGAAUUUGCUCAAGUUUCCAUGCUAAGAUGGGUCAUAAAGGAGGGGCCAGGCCAUGACUCAAUCUGUUGUUUCCUUUGUUGACAGGUCGAGAGCAUCAAACUGAGAUGCGGAUUACACAAGUUCAUUAGUAUCUUGAUUCAGCCACUUUCUAGCCAAGGCAGACAAGAGCAGUGAGCGGUUAAAGGCAAAAGAGAUAACAAGAGUUCAACAGCAGCAACUGCUGUUAUGUCCAAGGGCCAGCCCUGAUUCAUCACAAUGGGAUGAACCAGACUGAACGACGACGAGGCUGGAACAAGAUCUAGCCCACUGGGCCAGAGCAGGGAGCUGGAAAUGACAGAAGCUGUACAAAUCCACCCAAAGGGAGGAGGCCCAUUCCAACGCAGAAGAACAUGGCACCCAGGAAGAAUGGAAAUGGUAGAUGGAAGCUAGGCAAUCAUCAAAAGCACCAGAUUAGAACCAGUAUAAUGAUGGAUUCCUACACAAACAGUGGGAUUCUACUUCUUGAAUAACCUCUACAGAAAUCAGGAUUACAGUUUCUUAAACCUGAACAUGUGAUCCAAGGUAAGACAAAAGAACUUUUUAUCUUGAUUUGCGAAUUUAAUUACUCGAAAUGACUUUGAACACUUUACAAAAUGGAUUAUAUUUAUACAUUGAACAAAUCCACUUAACUAAAAAGAUAAAAAUAAUAUGAAAUGAUUGCUCAAGAAAAUAUGAAGUAGGAGGUCCCCAUAUCAUAGAUGCUGGUUACAAGUUUCUAAAUUAGAAUAUGGAGUCAUGACUUCUGGAAAGUUAGGUUUAAUCAUCUAUGUGGUUGGCCCUAGAAAAUGUCUUAAGUUGGUGAAAUGUAACUUCUCUCCCCCUUUUUUAGCAUUAGUGGAGUGCUCCUCUUUGGAACUUCCACUAGUUGCAUAUCCAAAGAUAUGACCCUAAAAUAUAUCUCUCUUCAAAUUCAAAGUAUGCUGCAACUCUUUGAAAGUGGCCAGAUUGAAGUAACCUUAAGGUUUACGAAGCAGACCUCCUUGAUUGCCAUGUCACUGGAAGGACUUAACUUUCUAUAAUUCAAGCUAUCCAAAAGAACUACUAUAAAUGUUUUAUGCACCACGAGUACCCACAGCCAAGGAAGGAGAAGAGAACAUAGAGGGUGAAAGGAGGGGCAGGAACAAGAAAGGACAGUCGUAGUGUCUAGCUUAUAGAAAGAACCCAAUGUAUACCUUUAUCCAGUGAGUAUUGAAGCACUUUCCUAAAUUGAUCUCUGGGGCCUCUCGCUUUCUAGGUCUAGACCUCUCUCCCUGGUCAAGGUUCCAAAGGCCCACCUCCUCCUUCUUGCAAGAAUAGAUCUAAAUAUCAUUUACACACACAUGACAGGUAACUAGUUAAAUCUCUCCUGGGAAUCAGUAGGCACUCAAUAGGGAGUGAAAUUGAAGUCAAGUGAAUACUGUGAAUGUUAGUUGUUCAGGUACCACUGGGCAGGAAGGAAGGCAUGGGAAAGAGAUCUUAACACUUUGUUUCAGAGAGCAUGGCAGUUUGUCUGGGAAUGCAACUGGAACCCUUUUAUUUUUAAUUAAAUUAAUUAAUUAGUUUGUUUUUUAAUCCUGGGGUUCGGGUUACUAUAGUUGGAAGUAAAAUUAAACAGAGGGUAACAGUUUUCUCUUUGGCACAUUAAUCAAUUGCUCUGCUUAGAAGGUCCCUUAAACAGAAAAGAGUGAACAAAUUUGGGCACCAGAGGAAUCCUCUGGGCCUUAGCAAUCACCUCCUCUUACCUGAUGGAAAGCAAACAAAAACUGAGCCAGGGGGCAGUGAUGGUCUUUUUCCCCCUCUCUUCUCAUAUGCCCAUUUAGGCUUAAAUGUUCUUUAAAGAAUUCAGAACUCUGUGCACUACAUGAAGGCUUACUUUUGAGGGGAAAAGAAUCAGAGAAUAUCAAAUUUAGAUUUUUUCUAAAUGUUUAUUCAUUUUUGAAAGACAGAGAGAGACAAAGCACAAGCGGGGGUGGGGCGGAGA